GGUGGCUCACAACCAUCGGUAAUGGGAUCUGAUACCCUCUUCUCUACAGUGUAGUCAUAUAAUAAAUGAAUAAAUCUUUUUUAAAAAAGCUAGUUCUUGGGGUUGGGGAUUUAGCUCAGUGGUAGAGCGCUUGCCUAGCAAACGCAAGGCCCUGGGUUCAGUCCCUAGCUCCGAAAAAAAGCUAGUUCUUACUAACAUGGGAAUUUUCUUUUUGCCAAAACAUUUGUGAUUCACAAAUUACUUUUAAGUUGCUUGACUUGUUUUCUUUUACCAACAAACAUUUUUAAACUUUCUUUUUUCUCAUUUCAGAACACAGAUAUGUAGAACUCUUCUUGAAUUCUACAGCAGGAGCAAGCGGUGGUGCUUACGGUAGCCAAAUGCUAGGAGGCAUGGGUUUGUGUAAAUAUCACUUUAGUGUCUUUUUUUAAGCUAACCUUGUAUGCCUUUUCUCUCAUUUCAGAACACAGAUAUGUAGAACUCUUCUUGAAUUCUACAGCAGGAGCAAGCGGUGGUGCUUAUGGUAGCCAAAUGAUGGGAGGCAUGGGCUUGUGUAAAUAUCGUUAGUUUUUUUAAAAACCAAAACGUUUAUAUCUGUAUAAGUAGAUAAUAAGCUAAGUUUUAAUACAUAUUUAAUUAGUUUAGCAUAAGAGUUUGUUAGAAUAAUAAUUACAUAAGUUACAAUAAUCUUAAAGUUAGGAAACAAAUGUAGGCAGAUAGAUUGUUUGAACAAAUAUUUUAAUUGAUGUAUUUCUAAAAUCUUGUAAGAACUGCUUAGGUAGAUUACUCAAAGUAGAUAUGAGUACUUCUCUUUGGGGGAGGGGACUAUUGAAUAUUACAUUAUCUGUCAAUAAAGUUUAAGUCUAAAAUACUUAGUAAAAAAUAUAGGAUUAAAUUUUUAAUUAGGCAUAAUUAAUUAGGUGUUAACUGAUAGCCUGUAUAAUGACAUCUAAAUAUAUAUUGAGCUAAGGAGGAGAACCCUAUUAAACUAAAGUUUGAUAAGAUGGUCACAAAAUGCCUCUAUUUAGGGAGUCAUGUGUAUUUAGUCCUUAACCCUUUGGUUUAUAAAACAUUUGACUAGCUUAUAUGAUUAUAAAGGUUAAUCUGGUUAUAGACAAUUGGAAUUUUGUCAUAGAUAGUAGGCAGAUGGAGACAGUGAUAUAAGAACAAGACUGGAAAAUUGUAGACAUAGAAUUACAAGCCCGGUACCACCAGGUACCACAUUGGAUGAGGGACAAAACUCUAAUGUUCUUUUAACUUAACAGCAAACCAGUCCAGUUACGGUGGCCCAGCCAGCCAGCAGCUGAGUGGUGGUUAUGGAGGUGGCUAUGGUGGCCAGAGCAGCAUGAGCGGAUAUGACCAAGUUUUACAGGAAAACUCCAGUGAUUUUCAAUCAAACAUUGCAUAGGUAAAUAUUUUCUCAAAAAAUAUAAUUUAAAUUCCCAAUAGCACAGACUGAUAAUGUUGUGAUAACACUUUCUAUAGCAGUCAGUGACUCUGACUUAACUCCAUGGAGGCUGCCAUUUUGGGCACAGUAAGUUGCCUUUAGUCCAACUUUUAAGUUCUUUUACUUUUGCUCACCAUGAGUAGGCAAAACAAAAGACUUCCCCUGUGCUCCCUAUUCAUACACAUCAUUCAGUGGACAUACAAUACAUGUUUAUGGUACAAUUUUUUAAAAUGCUUUUGGGUAGCUUUAAAA
rnacentral:lncRNA from 1 species